rnacentral:rRNA from 1 species
CAGCCGCCGCGGUAAUACCGGCGGCCCGAGUGGCGGCCACUAUUAUUGGGCUUAAAGCGUCCGUAGCCGGGUUGGUUAGUCUCCCGGGAAAUCUGGCCGCUUAACGGUCAGAAUUCCGGGGGAUACUGCCAGCCUAGGGACCGGGAGAGGCCGAGGGUAUUCCCGGGGUAGGGGUGAAAUCCUAUAAUCCCGGGAGGACCACCUGUGGCGAAGGCGCUCGGCUGGAACGCGUCCGACGGUGAGGGACGAAGGCCAGGGGAGCAAACCGGACUAGAUACCCGGGUAGUCCUGGCUGUAAACGAUGCGGACUUUGUGUCGGACAAGCUAUGAGCUUGUCCGGUGCCGGAGGGAAACCGUUAAGUCCGCCGCCUGGGGAGUACGGCCGCAAGGCUGAAACUUAAAGGAAUUGGCGGG